GACGAACGCUGGCGGCGUGCUUAACACAUGCAAGUCGAACGAUGAAGCCUAGCUUGCUAGGUGGAUUAGUGGCGAACGGGUGAGUAAUACGUGAGUAACCUACCUUUAACUCUGGGAUAAGCCUGGGAAACUGGGUCUAAUACCGGAUACGACCAAUCUCCGCAUGGGGUGUUGGUGGAAAGCGUUAUGUAGUGGUUAUAGAUGGGCUCACGGCCUAUCAGCUUGUUGGUGAGGUAACGGCUCACCAAGGCGACGACGGGUAGCCGGCCUGAGAGGGUGACCGGCCACACUGGGACUGAGACACGGCCCAGACUCCUACGGGAGGCAGCAGUGGGGAAUAUUGCACAAUGGGCGCAAGCCUGAUGCAGCGACGCCGCGUGAGGGAUGACGGCCUUCGGGUUGUAAACCUCUGUUAGCAGGGAAGAAGAGAGAUUGACGGUACCUGCAGAGAAAGCGCCGGCUAACUACGUGCCAGCAGCCGCGGUAAUACGUAGGGCGCGAGCGUUGUCCGGAAUUAUUGGGCGUAAAGAGCUUGUAGGCGGUUUGUCGCGUCUGCUGUGAAGGCCGGGGCUUAACUCCGUGUAUUGCAGUGGGUACGGGCAGACUAGAGUGCAGUAGGGGAGACUGGAAUUCCUGGUGUAGCGGUGGAAUGCGCAGAUAUCAGGAGGAACACCGAUGGCGAAGGCAGGUCUCUGGGCUGUAACUGACGCUGAGAAGCGAAAGCAUGGGGAGCGAACAGGAUUAGAUACCCUGGUAGUCCAUGCCGUAAACGUUGGGCACUAGGUGUGGGGAACAUUCCACGUUUUCCGCGCCGUAGCUAACGCAUUAAGUGCCCCGCCUGGGGAGUACGGCCGCAAGGCUAAAACUCAAAGAAAUUGACGGGGGCCCGCACAAGCGGCGGAGCAUGCGGAUUAAUUCGAUGCAACGCGAAGAACCUUACCAAGGCUUGACAUAUACUGGACCGCAUCAGAGAUGGUGUUUCCCUUCGGGGCUGGUAUACAGGUGGUGCAUGGUUGUCGUCAGCUCGUGUCGUGAGAUGUUGGGUUAAGUCCCGCAACGAGCGCAACCCUCGUUCUAUGUUGCCAGCACGUAAUGGUGGGGACUCAUAGGAGACUGCCGGGGUCAACUCGGAGGAAGGUGGGGAUGACGUCAAAUCAUCAUGCCCCUUAUGUCUUGGGCUUCACGCAUGCUACAAUGGCCGGUACAGAGGGUUGCGAUACUGUGAGGUGGAGCUAAUCCCUAAAAGCCGGUCUCAGUUCGGAUUGGGGUCUGCAACUCGACCCCAUGAAGUCGGAGUCGCUAGUAAUCGCAGAUCAGCAACGCUGCGGUGAAUACGUUCCCGGGCCU
rnacentral:rRNA from 1 species